CCGGCUGCCCCGCACCCAACGCGCAGGUUAAAACCUGCGCGUGUUCGAGGAACCUCCUCAGGAACCUCUGGUUUCAAGUUAUGUCCAUUGGCUCUUAUCCUUCCACCAUGCAGUGCUGCGAAGAGCCUGGCUCUGCUUCCUUGGCAACCUCCUUACAGGUACCUUUUUUAAAUGGGAUUUUCAAUGAAGAACAUCAAUUUAAACAAGAGGAUGAAUAACAUCAACCUUAAUGCAAU